rnacentral:rRNA from 1 species
AGUGAACGCUGGCGGUAGGCCUAACACAUGCAAGUCGAACGGCAGCACAGUAAGAUCUUGCUCUUACGGGUGGCGAGUGGCGGACGGGUGAGGAAUACAUCGGAAUCUACUUUUUCGUGGGGGACAACGUAGGGAAACUUACGCUAAUACCGCAUACGACCUACGGGUGAAAGCAGGGGAUCUUCGGACCUUUCGUGAUUGGUUGAGCCGAUGUCGGAUUAGCUAGUUGGCGGGGUAAAGGCCCACCAAGGCGACGAUCCGUAGCUGGUCUGAGAGGAUGAUCAGCCACACUGGAACUGAGACACGGUCCAGACUCCUACGGGAGGCAGCAGUGGGGAAUAUUGGACAAUGGGCGAAAGCCUGAUCCAGCCAUACCGCGUGGGUGAAGAAGGCCUUCGGGUUGUAAAGCCCUUUUGUUGGGAAAGAAAAGCAGCAGGUUAAUACCCCGCUGUUCUGACGGUACCCAAAGAAUAAGCACCGGCUAACUUCGUG